rnacentral:piRNA from 1 species
GAGGUGGCAAGCGUCCGAC